rnacentral:sRNA from 1 species
GAACGGCGCCUGAAGGCGCCGACAUGAGAGUGGAAAUUUUUGUACGCUGCAUUGCGCUGGAUGCGGUUGAAUUCAUGCGGCGCUCAGCGGAAUUCUCGAAC